rnacentral:snRNA from 1 species
GGAUGGGAGGGCCAUCUGGCCGCGACAUCUGUCACCUCGUUGAUCGCCAGGGUUGAUUCGGCUGAGCUGGCCGACCAGGCGGGUGUCCCCUUCCUCCCUCACCGCUCCACAUGCAUCCUUCCCAAAGCCACGCGCUCGAUCAAAGAGGACGACCCUCCCCAAUAGAGGUGGACAGUUCUUUGGUCAAGGGCAUAUGAGUAACGGCUUCCCUGCUAGAACCUCCAAAGAAGCUCUCGAAAGAAACCUGGAGUUGCUAUUAAUAUCAGAAAAAGCAGAUUUCAGAAAAACAAAAGUUGCAAAAAGUUCCAUUUACUAU